UAUUUUUUAAAUUCCUGUCACAAUACGUCUUUCUGCUAGCUUUUCAUUUUGCCUGUUUUGUGUUUCCUGUUUUGUUCCAUCCUUGAAAAUCCCCAAUGCAGCUGUCUUGUGGCCACUGGAGUUGCAAUGGGAGCUUUAAAAAAGGCCUCCAGCCAGAAGGUUGUUCCAGAUACUCACCAAUCUAUUGAUUCUGCUCUUGCUUACUACAGGAAUGGUCUGGCAGUUGGCCACAGGUUUGACCUCAGUACUUGAAGGACCUACAGUUUCUCUGAGUACGGUUUUGACUGUCUCACAAGAUUUCUAGAAGAAAGCACUGAGAGAAGAGGCUUGCAAGCAGAAUAUUGGGACUUAUGCAGGACUUCACCAAAGGCUUUAAUUUCUGGGAGAAAUAAAAAUAGUUAAACAAUUAAUUGUUUAACAAAGAUAGAAAUGCAAAAUUGCUUUUGAC